rnacentral:rRNA from 1 species
CGCGUUGGGAGCUCUCCCUAUGGUCGACCUGCAGGCGGCCGCGAAUUCACUAGUGAUUCGUAUUACCGCGGCUGCUGGCACAGAGUUAGCCGGUGCUUAUUCUGUCGGUAACGUCAAAACACUAACGUAUUAGGUUAAUGCCCUUCCUCCCAACUUAAAGUGCUUUACAAUCCGAAGACCUUCUUCACACACGCGGCAUGGCUGGAUCAGGCUUUCGCCCAUUGUCCAAUAUUCCCCACUGCUGCCUCCCGUAGGAGUCUGGACCGUGUCUCAGUUCCAGUGUGACUGAUCAUCCUCUCAGACCAGUUACGGAUCGUCGCCUUGGUGAGCCAUUACCCCACCAACUAGCUAAUCCGACCUAGGCUCAUCUGAUAGCGCAAGGCCCGAAGGUCCCCUGCUUUCUCCCGUAGGACGUAUGCGGUAUUAGCGUCCGUUUCCGAGCGUUAUCCCCCACUACCAGGCAGAUUCCUAGGCAUUACUCACCCGUCCGCCGCUCUCAAGAGGCGCAAGCACCUCUCUACCGCUCGACUUGCAUGUGUUAGGCCUCCCCCCAGCGUUCAAUCUGAGCCAUGAUCAAACUCUAAUCGAAUUCCCGCGGCCGCCAUGGCGGCCGGGAGCAUGCGACGUC